rnacentral:lncRNA from 1 species
UUUGUUUCAGACAAUGUAGUACCAUUUGCUUCAGGCAAUGGUACAGAACCAGUUGGACGUAAUCCAUGAUUUUUCAUCAACAAUUCAUUAUUUUGUUCAGCAACUAAUAGGUAAGAUAUAAGUUCUAAGUACUUUUUGAAGCCAUAUUCACGAUAUUGCCAUUGCAGGAGCACAUUCGAGGCAUGAAAGGUGAAGAAAGUUUUUUUCAGCAUAUCUUUAUCGGUGAUUUUUUCUCCACACAAAGUCAACUUUGAACAUAUUCUGAACGAUUCAGAAUUGUACCCACUAACCAUUUUAAAGUCUUGCAAACGAAGGUGCAUUCACUCAUAACGGGCUUUGAGGAGGACUAUAGUCCUCUGAUGAUCAAAUCUUUCAGUUAACUUUUUCCAAAGAACUCGUGAAUCUUUCUCAGUAAGAUAUUCAAUUUUUAAUCCAUCGUGAAGAUGGUGACGGAGGAAAAUAAGUGCUUUUGCACGAUCCUGCAGGGAUUUAUUAUUUCCUUCUUUUAUUGUCUCUCUCAGACCCUUUGAGACGAGAUGGAUAUCAGUAUCCAGUAUCCAUGACAGAUAAUUUUUAUCAAAUAUGUCAAGUGCAGCAAACUCAAGUUUAGUAAUGUUUGCCAUUUGUUUAACUACACAAUAAAAAAUUACAAUUAGUUUCGAAAAAUAUGAUUAAUCAUCACAUGUUAAUCAAAU